rnacentral:rRNA from 1 species
GACGUAGGGCGCGAGCGUUGUCCGGAUUUAUUGGGCGUAAAGAGCUCGUAGGCGGCUUGUCGCGUCGUUCGUGAAAACCCACAGCUCAACUGUGGGCUUGCGGUCGAUACGGGCAGACUGGAGUACUGCAGGGGAGACUGGAAUUCCUGGUGUAGCGGUGGAAUGCGCAGAUAUCAGGAGGAACACCGGUGGCGAAGGCGGGUCUCUGGGCAGUAACUGACGCUGAGGAGCGAAAGCGUGGGGAGCGAACAGG